AAUCGGUGUGACGACUUGGAAAAUUCAAGCUCAACAGACCGUAUUGCAGGUCUCUCUCUACUCAGAGAUUGCUACUUGCAUAUCGAUUCACCCGCUGAACUGACCGAUU